GCCCACAGCCAACCCACCCUGGGCUAGGCUCCCAUCUGCCCUCACUAGCUAAGCAGGGUCAGCCUGGAUUGGCACCAGGAUGGGAGACCAGAGACAAAUGCCCAGGAUGAGUGGUUU
rnacentral:rRNA from 1 species